rnacentral:rRNA from 1 species
UAAAUAGCCAGGCCAGCUUUGGCUGGUCGCCGGCUUCUUAGAGGGACUAUCGGCUCAAGCCGAUGGAAGUUUGAGGCAAUAACAGGUUGACCUACACAGGCCUGUAAAAGU